CCGGGAGCUCAGCCAAACGUGUCCUGCGUCCCCUAUGGCGCUUUCCGCGUCCCACAGCGCACCCACCCGGCCUGGAGGUACAUCUUGCAGAACUGAACUUCCUGCCUGAAAGGAGACUUUGCAGAGGGAUUAGCCAUCAGUAGCCAUCUGGUCUUAGAGGGUGCUUGGAGUGCUCCAUCAGGCCCAUUGGCCACUUCCCUGGAUCCCCACAGGAAUUCACUGGGAACGAGUCAUAUGCUGCUUUGUACUUAGAUGCUUCCUUGUGUACAUUUUGCUUUCAAAAGAAGUAGCCAGCCCAUUAUGGACAGGAACUAUGUCUUACUCUUUUGCCAUCCCUCACCUCGGGCAGCACUGCCAAGAGCAUUCACAGUAACCGUGGAACUCUGGAUUGAAUGACAGCUUGAGUAAGUUCCUGAUGUAGCCAGGGCCUUAGCAGUUGGAACCUGGCUUCUGCAAUACUCAAGUAGUCCUAGUGAAUUACACAACUGUGGAACCCCCUGUGUACAACCCUGAAGUGGGUCAGAACUCCACACUGUGCAUAAAGAGGAAAGCUGUCCCACACCUCCAGUUCUUGCCAGCCAGGGCCUUCUCCAGGGCAGGCUCCUCCAGCCUGAGGCACUUGGACUCUUAUCCCCUGGAAUGAUGAGAGAUGCUGAGGGCCUCAGAUUCUGAGGCUGCGGUUUCUGUGAGGGCAGACGCCCCAGAGGAGCCAGCAGCCAGCAAACCAGCUGCCAGUCUAGCAUAUUUCAUGAUGAAGUAAAGCUGCAGGCAGGAUCACACCUCAUGAACCUACCAGGCAUGCACACCUCCACAGCCAAGUUCUGCCUGAACCACCACCUCACGGCACUAAUGGGCAAGGGGGCGUACGUGGGGUUCACACGACAUAGGUCUGCUUGUGUGUGUCUUCCAGUUGUUGAAAUGAUUGGUUAUAAAUAGAAUUCACUGAAGGAUGAAGAGCUGAAAGGUUUACUUAUUGAAGUUUUCCUUUACUAUGACGCUGGAAACUCAAGAGAAGGGGAAUUUCACCUUCACUUAGUAAGUGGAUUUUCUCUAACCACUGGAUUUAUACGGUGUCUGUCAACCCAAUCCUGUGAGUCUUGUGGAGUCUUAGAUGUGGCUAGGGGACAGAUGUUAUCUUAACUUCAUAGAGGUAUGAAUUCAACAGGGAAGUCUAAGGAAACACCCUCCUUUGUGGAAGGCAACAAUGGCAUGGGAGCCACCCUCUGGGGCAAAGGUGCAGCCUGACAUUCUCUGCAGAAUUACACAAUGAGUUAAAAGUGUGAACUUCAUGUCUAAGAUAUAGCUCCACCCCAUGUGAUCCUGGGAAAAUUUCUCAACUUCACCAAGCCUCUGUUUCUUCACCUGUAGACUGAAGGUAAUAAUAAUGUGUGUGGAAUAGGGUUAGUGAAAUAAAGUACUUUUAACAUGCCUG